CCCUUAGACGUUCUGGGCCGCACACGCGCUACACUGACGGAGCCAGCGAGUAUAAACCUUGGCCGAGAGGUCUGGGAAAUCUUGUGAAACUCCGUCGUGCUGGGGAUAGAGCAUUGUAAUUAUUGCUCUUCAACGAGGAAUUCCUAGUAAGCGCAAGUCAUCAGCUUGCGUUGAUUACGUCCCUGCCCCUUGUACACACCGCCCGUCGCUACUACCGAUUGAAUGGCUUAGUGAGGCUUCCGGAUUGGUUUAGAGAAGGGGGCAACUCCAUCUUGGAACCGAGAAGCUAGUCAAACUUGGUCAUUUAGAGGAAGUAAAAGUCGUAACA
rnacentral:rRNA from 1 species